AUUGAACGCUGGCGGAAUGCUUUACACAUGCAAGUCGAACGGCAGCACGGACUUCGGUCUGGUGGCGAGUGGCGAACGGGUGAGUAAUGUAUCGGAACGUGCCCAGUCGUGGGGGAUAACGUAGUGAAAAUUACGCUAAUACCGCAUACGAUCUAUGGAUGAAAGCGGGGGAUCGCAAGACCUCGCGCGAUUGGAGCGGCCGAUAUCAGAUUAGGUAGUUGGUGGGGUAAAGGCCCACCAAGCCAACGAUCUGUAGCUGGUCUGAGAGGACGACCAGGCACACUGGAACGGAGACACGGUCCAGACUACUACGGGAGGCAGCAGUGGGGAAUUUUGGACAAUGGGCGAAAGCCUGAUCCAGCCAUUCCGCGUGCAGGAUGAAGGCCCUCGGGUUGUAAACUGCUUUUGUACAGAACGAAAAGGUUUCUACUAAUACUAGGAGCUCAUGACGGUACUGUAAGAAUAAGCACCGGCUAACUACGUGCCAGCCGCCGCAGUAA
rnacentral:rRNA from 1 species